CACUCACUCACUCACUCAGUCAGUCAGUAACUGCGGAAGUAAGCACUAUUUAGGGCAAGUGUUAGCUAUAGUGGCUCAGACUUAAAGUUCAUGCCGAGGGACAAACAGCAUUGCUCCCGAAAAUCGAACUUGUUUCCACUGUGGGAAUAGUGAUCAGAUCUGGACUGAGUGAUGGCCAACAAGAUGAAGCACAAGAGACAGGGAAGCAUUGAACUGUUAGAAGCUAUUGGGGUGGUAAAGAGAGAAAAUAGCACUGGGAGCCUUGCUACGCUUAUUUCGCACUCCCCAAAUGUCUUCGACUAUGUCCUGGUGGCCCAGGAAAUGGAUGAAGAUAUAGCAAACAAGAGCUCCAGGAAGAAACGCGAUUUCCUAAAAGCUUUGAAGAACAAGAAUUUACAGAUAACGACACUUGCUCAUGAUGAUAAAGUGUUUUAUGGAAUCACAGCCCCAAAAGAGAUCUUCGAGACAUACAGAUAUCUGCUUAAAGUGACUGAUGGAUGUAACUGGAGCUGUGAACAGCAGGGGAAUACACCACAAUCAACAAGGAUACGGAUUGUAGACUACAUCCUACACCACACCAGCAUUGACACUGAUGGUGUUCCGGGGUAUCUGUCAGACCUCAUUAAAGAGAAUGUUUUUCAGGAUCAGUUUUGUCUUCAUGAGAAAGAGGAACAGAAAGAGCUGAGAAAGACUUGGGCUAGAUGGGCUGCCGCUUUCAAUGGUCAACCCGUAACUGAUGUAAGACACUACUUUGGAGAAAAGGUGGCUCUGUAUUUCCUAUGGCUGGGCUGGUACACAUUUUUGCUAAUCCCUGCGGCUCUCCUGGGCGUCAUAGUCUUCCUUUAUGGUCUAUUUUUCUUCAGAGGCAACCCUCUGAUAAAUGAGGUGUGUGACUCAGACACUAUAAUGUGUCCACUGUGCGAUAAGCCAUGUAAGGUCUGGCGGCUGUCUGAUACAUGCACAUACGCAAAGUUGAGCACAUUAUUUGACAAUGAAGGAACAGUCGCAUUUGCUAUGUUCAUGGCAGUCUGGGCUACUGUGUUUCUAGAAUUCUGGAAGCGCCACACAGCCUCAUAUGUCUGCGAGUGGAAGGUUUUUGACUGGUGUGAAGAAGAGGAGGAACUAAUACUGGAGAUAGUGAAUAAUCCCAACUGCAAGUCAGUGAAGUUCAGUCACUCAUACCUGCGCAAUACGCUAGUAAUGGUGCUAAUGACACUCAUGUUGCUGCUGAUCAUUGGAUUGGCUCAUGCCCUUGUGGUGUUCAGGGUAAUAGCCAGUGUGGAGUUUGCUAAGCAAGAACAAUUGCCUUUUCUUAGUGAAAACAGCUACACAGUGGCUUUGAUGCUUGGAGCAGUGCUGCACUACCUCACAAUAACCAUCAUGACUUGGGUCAAUCGCAGAGUGGCAUUGAAGUUAUGUGAAUUAGAGAAGGUGCAUUCACAUGCUGCUGUUGAAAGGAGCUUUACGGUGAAGAUGUUCACUUUCCAGUUCUUUACUCUUUUUUCCUCACUUAUCUACACAGCAUUCUUUCUCGGCAGGAUAAAUGGAUAUCCAGGUGGAUAUGUAAGGAUAGCUAAAAUCUGGAGAUUAGAAGAGUGUCAUCCUAGUGGAUGUCUUACUGACCUGUUCAUUCAGAUGGCCAUCAUCAUGUUGCUUAAACAGUUCAUUGGCAACGUGUUUGAGUUUUCAGGCCCUUGGUUCAAAGGUUGGCUAAAAAGGCGACAGAGUCGUAAUAUGAGGAAGAAGGUCCGAUGGUGUUCGGAGAAGAACUGUGUGCAGGGCACAGGAGGCACUGAUCUGUGUGACAACUGUAAACUUAGGGACUUGCUCUGGAACUUUGACCUCAAUAAUGUGGACUCCUUUAGCCUCUUUAACGAAUUCCUAGAAAUGGUAAUCCAGUUCAGUUUCACCACCAUCUUUGUGGCUGCAUUUCCCCUCGCUCCUCUGCUUGCUCUGCUUAACAAUAUCAUUGAAAUCAGAUUGGAUGCCAUUAAAAUGUUGCGUCUGGAGCGAAGGCUGGUGCCUAGGAAGACUAACGACAUUGGGGUUUGGACAGAUGUGCUGGAAACAAUUGGUGUGCUAGCUGUCAUUGCCAAUGGGCUGGUCAUUGGCAUAUCAUCUGAUUUUAUCCCACGGUUGGUGUAUCGAUACCACUAUGGACCCUGUGCUAAUUCCAGUACUAGUGGUGUUGAAUGCAUGUCUGGCUAUAUUAAUAAUUCUUUAUCUAUUGCUUACACAAAUGAUGAGAACAUCAAAAAAGACUUUGUAACCAAGCAACUCAUUCAUAUGGACAGGAAGGUGACACACUGCAGUUAUAGAAGUUAUAGGAGUAAGGAUGACUACACAUUGACCCAUCAGUUUUGGGUCAUUCAGGCAGUUCGCUUUGCCUUCGUCAUUCUUUUUGAGCAUGUGGUCGUGAUGUGCAAGUGCAUCGCAGGGUGGUUUGUCCCCACUUCUCCCUUAGAGGUAAAAAAUACGAGGCUGCAAGACAAGCUUGGACAACUGAAAGAACAGCUCCGACGGAGGUCUAGAGAGAGCUGAUUGGCCGACCUCUCAGAGAGGAGGGAUGAGAGGCUACUUUGUGCUCCCACAUUAAUCACAGCUCUACAGCCAGCCAGGGACGUCUGUGAGCUCACGCAAGCGGAAGGAGCGGAUAGCGCCGUCCUCUGAGUGUGUUACGCCGCCCCCAAAGAAUUAAUGGAUUUCCAUUAUUCCCGGGACAACAACAUUUCAAGUAUAAGUGACAAACUUCAGUGGAUUCUUUAUAACAGAAAACAGAAAAAUAUACAUCCACAUCAGGAUAAACGAUUGGGAACCGAUUCAUGAUCCUAAUUCCAGGAGCAGAACAGAUGAAGUUGCUGUGCACAGCUGUUAAGUUACUGACUUACUGAUUCUAUUUGCCAAGUUAAUCACACUAUCUUUGUUUUUUCAAUAGUCCACUACAUUUUAGAACAGUUUAAAAAAAAACGUAGACAUCUUAUUUUUCUAGACUGAAAACACAAAAUCUGUUUUCAAAUGAUUUCUUCUUCUUACUUUUUUCUUUCUUUCUUUCUUUUUUUUUUACAUAUUUAUAGCAGAUAAUAAAUUAUUAUAAUUGUUUUUAGAUUUUGCAGAUUCUAUUACAAUACGAACUUGAGCCAAGUACUUCAAUAUUCAGGAAAAUGUACACAUAUAAAGAACCUGAAAUAUAUAUUUUUUUUAACCUAAGACCUGGCUACAACCAGAAAUUUUUAUUUUUUUAUCUCAAUUUGUUUAAAUAAAAGUACUUCAUGGUUUACAGUACCAA